rnacentral:rRNA from 1 species
GAUGAACGCUGGCGGCGUGCCUAAUACAUGCAAGUUGAGCGACGAAGGUUGGUACUUGUACCGAUUGGAUGAGCAGCGAACGGGUGAGUAACGCGUGGGGAAUCUGCCUUUGAGCGGGGGACAACAUUUGGAAACGAAUGCUAAUACCGCAUAAAAACUUUAAACACAAGUUUUAAGUUUGAAAGAUGCAAUUGCAUCACUCAAAGAUGAUCCCGCGUUGUAUUUGCUAGUUGGUGAGGUAAAGGCCCACCAAGGCGACGAUACAUAGGCGACCUGAGAGGGGGGUUGGCCCCAUUGGGACUGGGACCCGGGCCCACAUCCUCCGGGGAGCAGCAAUCGGGGAUCUUUCGCCAUGGAGGCAAAUCUUGCCGAGCAACGCCGCGUGAGUGGAGGAGGGUUUCCGAUCGUGAAACACUGUUUGUAGGGGAGAACGUUAGUGAGAGUGGAAAGCUCAUCGAGUGACGGUAACUACUCAGAAAGCAACGGCUAACUACGUG